GGGCGAGUGGCGAAACUGGCAGACGCGCAGGCCUUAGGAGCCUGUCCCGAAAGGGGUGGAGGUUCAAAUCCUCUCUCGCCCA
rnacentral:tRNA from 1 species